GACGGAGGAUGCAAGCGUUAUCCGGAAUUAUUGGGCGUAAAGCGUUCGUAGGUGGCUGUUCAAGUCUGCCGUUAAAGACCGGGGCUUAACUCCGGAAAAACUGUGGAAACUGAACAGCUAGAGUAUGGUAGGGGUAAGGGGAAUUCCCGGUGUAGCGGUGAAAUGCGUAGAUAUCGGGAAGAACACCGGUGGCGAAGGCGCCUUACUGGGCCAUAACUGACACUGAGGGACGAAAGCUAGGGGAGCGAAAGGGAUUAGAAACCCUGUAGUCC
rnacentral:rRNA from 1 species